rnacentral:rRNA from 1 species
GUUGAACGCUGGCGGCAGGCCUAACACAUGCAAGUCGAACGAUAACAGGAAGAAGCUUGCUGACUUGUUGAAGCGUGGCUGGCGGGUGAGGAACGUCGAGGAAACUGCUCUAUGGCGGGGGAUAACUCCUGAAACCGGUAUCAAUUACCGCAUAACGUCGCAAGCCCAUCGAGCGGGAGCUUAGGACCUCCUGCCUUCUAAUUUGCCCAGAUGGGAUUAGGCAGUAGGUAGGGUAACGGGUCACCUAGGCGACGAUCCCUAACUGGUCUGAGAGGGUGACCCGCAACACUGGAACUGAGACACGGUCCAGACUCCUAAGGGAGGCAGCAGUGGGGAAUAUUGCACAAUGGGCGAAAGCCUGAAGCAGCAAAGCCGCGUGUGUGACGAAGGCCUUCGGGUUGUAAAGUACUGUCAGAGGGGAGGAAGUUAGUAAAGCUUAAACCUUCGCUAAUUGACGUUACCCACCCAGGAAGCCACGGCUAACUCCGUG